rnacentral:lncRNA from 1 species
UUAGGGUUUUAUUUAUUUUUCUCCUUACUAUAUAAGGAUAAAAAACAAUUGUAAGAGGGAGCUUUUAAUCAAAAUUUCAGAAUUCUUCUCAUGCCUUUGGCGUGUAUUGCUUUGAGUGAGAGUGAGGAUUUGCUUUCAUCAAUUGCACCAGGAAUCUUGGCUAACUUAUCAACUAUUCGUUGUGGUGUUUGUCAGAUUCUCAUCUAAAU